rnacentral:sRNA from 1 species
CCAGCCAGCAUGCACCCAUUAUCUCCAGCUUCCGGUCUGUCUUCUCCAUGAGAAGUGCGGAUUCUAUGCUGAAGGGCUACCUUUGCUCAAGGGAUGAGAACCGUUGUAGCUAAAUUCAGAGAGGAAGACAAUUUGGAUUUCUUCUGCAAAUGGGUGCUCUCUCAAGGCUCGGCCUUGUAAAUGGCAGCGACAGGCAGAAGUCAGCCAGUCAGGCAGCGAGGUCCUCCUUGGGAAGCAUGCUUUCUCUCGGAUCUCUGCUUUGUUCUCAUUUUCAAGUUCUUCGGUGGCCAGCCGAAGCCUUUACACUGUUCAAAAUGAAAUUAGAACAGAGACGAGAGUGGCCAAAGAUGACAUCGAAAAGAGGCCCUCUAGCCCUUAGCAGAGACGCAACAGUGUAAUACCCUUCCUCCAACUGGGAAGAAUGUACACCUUUGGUGGAACAGGUUUUCAAACCAAAAGGCUUUUGAUGUGCUGAAGCAAUGAAGACGCCUGCCCUCUUGAGAGGGGUCGGUAUUGGCCAGACCUGACCACAGGGAUAGGUGGGGGCUUUCACUGCAUCCCUAACAGAUCCCGUUACCUCCAGAAGCAAGGGCCAGAGUGGCUACUCAGGUUUCUCUCAACAAGGGGAGCGCUGCAGAAGCUGCUCCCUGUCAACACCCUGAGGAGGCUUGGAACAGGCCACUUUUCUUGACAGAGUUGUCGGGCCUGUGUAGCUGGGCUCUGCCAAAACCAGUGCUCCCUUUCACACUAACGUAAGGAAGCAAUCAGGAUAGGAAACCCGAAGAACUUGGAAUGUAGUCUUUUUAGGGUACUGCUGGUGUGUCUUGCUGGGUAAGACAGCAGAUGAGAACGCAGCGGUAGACCAAGGGUGCUGCAGACCUGGCCUGGUCAGGCACCAGAGCGUCACUGGAAACAUCUCGCUCACAGUCUGUGAGACCGACUUGGCCCUUUUCCACCUCAAAAAAAAUUUUUGCUGUAAUCAAGUGCGUUUUUCAU